rnacentral:rRNA from 1 species
GGGUUGUGAGGUUAAGCGACUAAGCGUACACGGUGGAUGCCCUGGCAGUCAGAGGCGAUGAAGGACGUGCUAAUCUGCGAUAAGCGUCGGUAAGGUGAUAUGAACCGUUAUAACCGGCGAUUUCCGAAUGGGGAAACCCAGUGUGAUUCGUCACACUAUCAUUAACUGAAUCCAUAGGUUAAUGAGGCGAACCGGGGGAACUGAAACAUCUAAGUACCCCGAGGAAAAGAAAUCAACCGAGAUUCCCCCAGUAGCGGCGAGCGAACGGGGAGCAGCCCAGAGCCUGAAUCAGUGUGUGUGUUAGUGGAAGCGUCUGGAAAGGCGCGCGAUACAGGGUGACAGCCCCGUACACAAAAAUGCACAUACUGUGAGCUCGAUGAGUAGGGCGGGACACGUGGUAUCCUGUCUGAAUAUGGGGGGACCAUCCUCCAAGGCUAAAUACUCCUGACUGACCGAUAGUGAACCAGUACCGUGAGGGAAAGGCGAAAAGAACCCCGGCGAGGGGAGUGAAAAAGAACCUGAAACCGUGUACGUACAAGCAGUGGGAGCACAGAGCAAUCUGUGUGACUGCGUACCUUUUGUAUAAUGGGUCAGCGACUUAUAUUCUGUAGCAAGGUUAACCGAAUAGGGGAGCCGAAGGGAAACCGAGUCUUAACUGGGCGUUAAGUUGCAGGGUAUAGACCCGAAACCCGGUGAUCUAGCCAUGGGCAGGUUGAAGGUUGGGUAACACUAACUGGAGGACCGAACCGACUAAUGUUGAAAAAUUAGCGGAUGACUUGUGGCUGGGGGUGAAAGGCCAAUCAAACCGGGAGAUAGCUGGUUCUCCCCGAAAGCUAUUUAGGUAGCGCCUCGUGAAUUCAUCUCCGGGGGUAGAGCACUGUUUCGGCAAGGGGGUCAUCCCGACUUACCAACCCGAUGCAAACUGCGAAUACCGGAGAAUGUUAUCACGGGAGACACACGGCGGGUGCUAACGUCCGUCGUGAAGAGGGAAACAACCCAGACCGCCAGCUAAGGUCCCAAAGUCAUGGUUAAGUGGGAAACGAUGUGGGAAGGCCCAGACAGCCAGGAUGUUGGCUUAGAAGCAGCCAUCAUUUAAAGAAAGCGUAAUAGCUCACUGGUCGAGUCGGCCUGCGCGGAAGAUGUAACGGGGCUAAACCAUGCACCGAAGCUGCGGCAGCGACGCUGAUGCGUUGUUGGGUAGGGGAGCGUUCUGUAAGCCUGUGAAGGUGUGCUGUGAGGCAUGCUGGAGGUAUCAGAAGUGCGAAUGCUGACAUAAGUAACGAUAAAGCGGGUGAAAAGCCCGCUCGCCGGAAGACCAAGGGUUCCUGUCCAACGUUAAUCGGGGCAGGGUGAGUCGACCCCUAAGGCGAGGCCGAAAGGCGUAGUCGAUGGGAAACAGGUUAAUAUUCCUGUACUUGGUGUUACUGCGAAGGGGGGACGGAGAAGGCUAUGUUGGCCGGGCGACGGUUGUCCCGGUUUAAGCGUGUAGGCUGGUUUUCCAGGCAAAUCCGGAAAAUCAAGGCUGAGGCGUGAUGACGAGGCACUACGGUGCUGAAGCAACAAAUGCCCUGCUUCCAGGAAAAGCCUCUAAGCAUCAGGUAACAUCAAAUCGUACCCCAAACCGACACAGGUGGUCAGGUAGAGAAUACCAAGGCGCUUGAGAGAACUCGGGUGAAGGAACUAGGCAAAAUGGUGCCGUAACUUCGGGAGAAGGCACGCUGAUAUGUAGGUGAAGUCCCUCGCGGAUGGAGCUGAAAUCAGUCGAAGAUACCAGCUGGCUGCAACUGUUUAUUAAAAACACAGCACUGUGCAAACACGAAAGUGGACGUAUACGGUGUGACGCCUGCCCGGUGCCGGAAGGUUAAUUGAUGGGGUUAGCGCAAGCGAAGCUCUUGAUCGAAGCCCCGGUAAACGGCGGCCGUAACUAUAACGGUCCUAAGGUAGCGAAAUUCCUUGUCGGGUAAGUUCCGACCUGCACGAAUGGCGUAAUGAUGGCCAGGCUGUCUCCACCCGAGACUCAGUGAAAUUGAACUCGCUGUGAAGAUGCAGUGUACCCGCGGCAAGACGGAAAGACCCCGUGAACCUUUACUAUAGCUUGACACUGAACAUUGAGCCUUGAUGUGUAGGAUAGGUGGGAGGCUUUGAAGUGUGGACGCCAGUCUGCAUGGAGCCGACCUUGAAAUACCACCCUUUAAUGUUUGAUGUUCUAACGUUGACCCGUGAUCCGGGUUGCGGACAGUGUCUGGUGGGUAGUUUGACUGGGGCGGUCUCCUCCUAAAGAGUAACGGAGGAGCACGAAGGUUGGCUAAUCCUGGUCGGACAUCAGGAGGUUAGUGCAAUGGCAUAAGCCAGCUUGACUGCGAGCGUGACGGCGCGAGCAGGUGCGAAAGCAGGUCAUAGUGAUCCGGUGGUUCUGAAUGGAAGGGCCAUCGCUCAACGGAUAAAAGGUACUCCGGGGAUAACAGGCUGAUACCGCCCAAGAGUUCAUAUCGACGGCGGUGUUUGGCACCUCGAUGUCGGCUCAUCACAUCCUGGGGCUGAAGUAGGUCCCAAGGGUAUGGCUGUUCGCCAUUUAAAGUGGUACGCGAGCUGGGUUUAGAACGUCGUGAGACAGUUCGGUCCCUAUCUGCCGUGGGCGCUGGAGAACUGAGGGGGGCUGCUCCUAGUACGAGAGGACCGGAGUGGACGCAUCACUGGUGUUCGGGUUGUCAUGCCAAUGGCACUGCCCGGUAGCUAAAUGCGGAAGAGAUAAGUGCUGAAAGCAUCUAAGCACGAAACUUGCCCCGAGAUGAGUUCUCCCUGACUCCUUGAGAGUCCUGAAGGAACGUUGAAGACGACGACGUUGAUAGGCCGGGUGUGUAAGCGCAGCGAUGCGUUGAGCUAACCGGUACUAAUGAACCGUGAGGCUUAACCUUACAACGCCGAAGGUGUUU